rnacentral:rRNA from 1 species
UACGAAGGGUGCAAGCGUUGUUCGGAAUUACUGGGCGUAAAGAGCGCGUAGGCGGCUUAUCAAGUCAGGCGUGAAAUCCCUGGGCUCAACCCGGGAAUUGCGUUUGAAACUGGUAAGCUUGAGUGUCAGAGGGGUGAGUGGAAUUCCUAGUGUAGAGGUGAAAUUCGUAGAUAUUAGGAGGAACACCAGUGGCGAAGGCGGCUCUCUGGACAGGUACUGACGCUGAGACGCGAAAGCGUGGGUAGCAAACAGG